rnacentral:rRNA from 1 species
AGAGUUUGAUCAUGGCUCAGGAUGAACGCUAGCUACAGGCUUAACACAUGCAAGUCGAGGGGCAGCAUUGAGAUAGCUUGCUAUUCAGAUGGCGACCGGCGCACGGGUGAGUAACGCGUAUCCAACCUUCCCUUAGUAGGGAUAGCCCGGUGAAAAUCGGAUUAAUACCCUAGUGUUGUUCGAAGCAGACAUCUAAAUUGAACCAAAGGUUUACCGCUAAGGGAUGGGGAUGCGUCUGAUUAGGUAGUAGGCGGGGUAACGGCCCACCUAGCCGACGAUCAGUAGGGUUCUGAGAGGAAGGUCCCCCACAUUGGAACUGAGACACGGUCCAAACUCCUACGGGAGGCAGCAGUGAGGAAUAUUGGUCAAUGGGCGCGAGCCUGAACCAGCCAAGUAGCGUGCAGGACGACGGCCCUAUGGGUUGUAAACUGCUUUUAUACAGGGAUAAAGUCACCUACGUGUAGGUGUUUGUAGGUACUGUAUGAAUAAGGACCGGCUAAUUCCGUGCCAGCAGCAGC